UCCGAGUUGACCCCGGCAGUCUCCUAUGAGUCCCCGCCAUCACGCGCUGGCAACAUAGAACGAGGGUUGCGCUCGUUGCGGGACUUAACCCAACAUCUCACGACACGAGCUGACGACAACCAUGCACCACCUGUGAACCGGCCGCAAGCGGGGCACCUGUCUCCAGAUGUUUCCAGUCCAUGUCAAGCCUUGGUAAGGUUCUUCGCGUUGCCUCGAAUUAAACCACACGCUCCGCUGCUUGUGCGGGCCCCCGCCUAUUCCUUUGAGUUUUAACCUUGCGGCCGUAGUCCCCAGGCGGUGAACUUAAUGCGUUAGCUGCGGCACUGAUCGGGUCAAUCCGACCAACACCUAGUUCACAACGUUUAGGGCGUGGACUAC
rnacentral:misc_RNA from 1 species